rnacentral:rRNA from 1 species
CCUACGGGAGGCAGCAGUGAGGCAUAUUGGUCAAUGGACGAAAGUCUGAACCAGCCAUGCCGCGUGCGGGAAGACGGCUCUAUGAGUUGUAAACUUCUUUUGUACAAGAAUAAACCUGAAUACGUGUCUUCAGCUGUAAGUACUAUACGAAUAAGGAUCGGCUAACUCCGUGCCAGCAGCCGCGGUAAUACGGAGGAUCCGAGCGUUAUCCGGAUUUAUUGGGUUUAAAGGGUGCGUAGGCGGAUUGUUAAGGUAGAUGGGAAAUGUCCGGGCUUAACUCGAGAACUGCCUGUAAUACUGGUAGACGAGAGAGUAGGAGAGGUAGGCGGAAUGCGUGGUGUAGCGGUGAAAUGCUUAGAGAUCACACAGAACUCCGAUUGCGAAGGCAGCUCACCAGUC